rnacentral:piRNA from 1 species
UCACAAUCGAGCCACAGAAGAAUGUGC